CUCGAAAAGAAAACAAAUUCAGUGCUAAGAAGUUAAUUCUCAAGUCUUGGGAUGGCCUUCUGCAGCUUGACGCGCCAGGCUGGCCUUUUGCUGAGUUAAC
rnacentral:sRNA from 1 species